UCCCAAUCCCCGCGCGUGCUCCGCUUCCAAUCCUCCUCGCGGGGUUGCUGCGCCAGAGCCCACACCCGCCCAACCCUAGCCGCCACACCUCUCCUUCCUCCCUCGCUUGACACCAUAGGCGCUGCACCCCUCCCCUCCUCCUGCUCGGGCGGAUAGCCGCCGGCCGCCGCAUCCCUUCUCCCCCUUCCUCCUCCUUCCUCCUUCCCGCUGGCGCCCAUCGCCCUCGUCCUCGGACAAGGGGCCUUCCACAGGGAUGGCCAUGUCUUAAAACCAGGGGUAGAGGAGCAGGGGAGGGCCAAGAAGCCGGCACUGGGGGUGGAGGACCCAGGUGGUGGACGCGUCAUGGGGUUAAGGACAGGCCGAUGAUAGGGUUAAGUAGGAGGAGUGCCAUGGAUCUGCAGGGAAAGGAGGGCGACGCCCUCGGCGGGCGUCCGAGAAGGAAGCCGGCGGGGAGCACGUCACCGUAGGCGUCAAGGGAGCCAUGGACAAGCCGCCAGGAGGAGAAAGCUCCCAGUUUGUGGAGGAGACUAUGUGACAGGUGUGUUUCUUCCUGUUUUUCUAACCCCUUUUCUCAUCUUUCCAUGAUGACCUGCAAAUUUUUCAAGUUUUUCAGGUGGUGUUUUGGAAUCUAGAUUGAUUUGGUACUGUAUGUUGUGUGAUGUGCCCUUGCCAAGAAUAUUUGAUGUGUGUGAUGACACAAGCAAUUGUAGAGGAGUGAACACCAUGCUCGAUUAGUGGACUGCCGCUUGAGAAGAAGCUUGUCAUUUGUCUCUUCGAGCCACGGAGGAUAGGGGCCUUCGAAGAACUUGGGGUUUGACAUAGCCAUCGAGGAAGUGCAGGAUACAAACCAAGUGUAAUCAAAGAGGAUAUGGAUUCAGUAUGGCCAUGAGGGAAGGAAUGUUACUCCAAUUUGGAUCUUGGAGAAUGCUUUCUCAGUGUGGUUCAGGUUAAAUUGUUGUCCUACUGUUCCUGCUCAGCCUCCUAAUGUUCUAUGUCUUGGCCGCGCCUUCUUCCAGCUUCUCUAUUGGUUUUCUCUUCACACCGAUGUAAGUGCAUAUUCCUCCCUUCCUCCAAAUCUUCUCCAGCCAUGGUUGUUUGCAUCUGGUCACAGUUGUUUCAUGUUUCACUUCCGUUGGUGGUUCACGCGUCGGCCUUAGUGCUCUAAGCAAACCAGCAUUUCUCAUCUUGGCGAUUGUAUUAUUGGGGCUUUGCUACAUCUGUAGGUUUGAAUCUCAUGUGGCUCUGCGCCCAGCCACCAUCUCCUCCCUAGCUAAGCAAGAGGUUCAAAGGCCACCGCUACCUCUUCCUUGCCGCCCAGCAGGAGGGGCACUAGGUGUGCCUCAUGUUUAGUUAAUGCCCACUGAUUGUGAUGUUCAUUCUAUGGGGAAUUUUGUUUACUUUUUAUAUUUUGUGCAUUUUCUAUUUCAUGUAUUGGUUAGUGGUCCUAAAUCCCAUGUGAUUUCUUCAUUAUUCAGGAAAAUUACAUAUCAGGAGAGCCAUUUAUUAGAGGAUCUUCUAAAAGGCUUUUUAUAUUUGGUUCCUCAUGUUCUGCUUCUCGGGGAAGAAACUGUAUUGAACUUGCUUAAUUUUUCUUCAGAAAUAGUAUUGAAUCGGCUACUUGUUGGCAAUUUCAUGUUACAAAGUCGUCAUUAGCGAAGAGAUAGGCAGGCAGGGGUCGACGAGGCAAAGGGGGAUGGAGAAGUGGUCGAGCUGGAGGCGUACAGGCAGGGCACCCAGAAGACGGAGCUGUGCAACAAGUGGGAGGGCGGCGCCUGCUCCUGCGGCGGCCGGUGCCGGUUCGCGCAUGGCCUGCAGGAUGAUGGUUUCUUAAUUUCGUUGACUAACCAGGGAGUUCAAGGAUGAUGACUGGAAGUUUUGUCAUUACUGGUUAACACUUGGCGACGAUGUGUCCAUCAGAAAUGAUCCGAUUAUCCUCUGUUGUAUUAUAUUUCCUACUUUUUUGUAAAUAUGUAUGGAUGUACAUGCAUGCUCUUUCGAUGUCUGAAAAUGACCAGCAUCCCUCGGUGGGCAAAGAUGAUUUUGUUGAACAGUUUUA